AGGGGUGACAAUAACUGUGGAGGGCACUGUAUCUAAACAUUAAACAUCUUAUCAUCAUAUACUACAUGUAUCGAAACAUGAAACAUCUUAUCAUCAUAUACUACAUGUAUCUAAACAUGAAACAUCUUAUCAUCAUGUAUCUAAACAUUAAACAUCUUAUCAUCAUAUACUACAUGUAUCUAAACAUGAAACAUCUUAUCAUCAUUUACUACAUGUAUCUAAACAUGAAACAUCUUAUCAUCAUAUACUACAUGUAUCUAAACAUGAAACAUCUUAUUCAAUUCAAUUCAAUUCAAUUCAAUUUCAUUUAUAUAGCGCCAUAACAAUACAAUUGUCUCUAGGCGCUUUAAAGAGCCCAGAGCCUUAUCAUAUACUACAUGUAUCUAAACAUGAAACAUCUUAUCAUCAUAUACUACAUGUAUCUAAACAUUAAACAUCUUAUCAUCAUGUAUCUAAACAUUAAACAUCUUAUCAUCAUGUAUCUAAACAUUAAACAUCUUAUCAUCAUAUACUACAUGUAUCUAAACAUUAAACAUCUUAUCAUUAUGUAUCUAAACAUGAAACAUCUUAUCAUCAUGUAUCUAAACAUUAAAAAUCUUAUCAUCAUGUAUCUAAACAUGAAACAUCUUAUCAUCAUGUAUCUAAACAUUAAACAUCUUAUCAUCAUAUACUACAUGUAUCUAAACAUUAAACAUCUUAUCAUCAUGUAUCUAAACAUGAAACAUCUUAUCAUCAUGUAUCUAAACAUGAAACAUCUUAUCAUCAUAUACUACAUGUAUCUAAACAUGAAACAUCUUAUCAUCAUGUAUCUAAACAUUAAACAUCUUAUCAUCAUGUAUCUAAACAUUAAACAUCUUAUCAUCAUGUAUCUAAACAUGAAACAUCUUAUCAUCAUAUACUACAUGUAUCUAAACAUGAAACAUCUUAUCAUCAUGUAUCUAAACAUUAAACAUCUUAUCAUCAUGUAUCUAAACAUUAAACAUCUUAUCAUGUAUCUAAACAUUAAACAUCUUAUCAUCAUGUAUCUAAACAUGAAACAUCUUAUCAUAUACUACAUGUAUCUAAACAUUAAACAUCUUAUCAUCAUGUAUCUAAACAUUAAACUUCUUAUCAUCAUGUAUCUAAACAUUAAACAUCUUAUCAUAUACUACAUGUAUCUAAACAUGAAACAUCUUAUCAUCAUAUACUACAUGUAUCUAAACAUGAAACAUCUUAUCAUAUACUACAUGUAUCUAAACAUUAAACAUCUUAUCAUCAUGUAUCUAAACAUGAAACAUCUUAUCAUAUACUACAUGUAUCUAAACAUGAAACAUCUUAUCAUCAUAUACUACGGCUGGUAA
rnacentral:lncRNA from 1 species